AUAACGAAUAUAAUGUGUUUGCUCACUAUAAGUCUACUAAACUUGAGAGUCUUUGGUUCAGUUUAGCCUUCGAUGGAUGGAGCUUUGCUGAUGGCGUUGUUGGAUACAUGAAUGAAGUACUAUCUGAAGAUUGGAACAUGCAAGUUUGGGGCUACAUGUAAAUUCCAUCAUCCCAGCGAAAAGGCUGGAAUCCAGGGAAUGGCGCAGCUAAACACGUUGGGAUACUCACUUUGACCGACUGUGUGUUGAGCUCGUCCAGACGGCAUCCUCCUGCAGCAAAUCCUGGUUUUUUGAUGAAUCUGUUGUUUCUUAGAUCAUGGUUAUGGGGUUGAUGCUUUCCAGCAUUGCCAGUUCAGCUAUACCAGCUACUUUUGGAGGGUUGUUCAGGGAAUAUUAGUAACAGUAUGACCUAAUGCAGUAAAGCUAUGUUCCAAAAAAUAAUCUGACAAGCGAAAUACGUAUUCAAACCAAUGGAAGGUCACUCCAUGCUCAAGUUUGCAUAAUAGUGUGUCUUCUAAAGAACAGGUCUAGAGUUAGAAUUCCAUUCUGCACCUACGAAUCAACUCAUAUUUAAAAUUUAGUUUAAAUUAUUGUAUGAACUAUGCUAUUUGAAUAGCAAGUAAAUCUAUCGAGCCAACUGUGAU